rnacentral:rRNA from 1 species
AGAUUGAACGCUGGCGGCAGGCCUAACACAUGCAAGUCGAGCGGCAGCACGGGUACUUGUACCUGGUGGCGAGCGGCGGACGGGUGAGUAAUGCCUAGGAAUCUGCCUGGUAGUGGGGGAUAACGCUCGGAAACGGACGCUAAUACCGCAUACGUCCUACGGGAGAAAGCAGGGGACCUUCGGGCCUUGCGCUAUCAGAUGAGCCUAGGUCGGAUUAGCUAGUUGGUGAGGUAAUGGCUCACCAAGGCGACGAUCCGUAACUGGUCUGAGAGGAUGAUCAGUCACACUGGAACUGAGACACGGUCCAGACUCCUACGGGAGGCAGCAGUGGGGAAUAUUGGACAAUGGGCGAAAGCCUGAUCCAGCCAUGCCGCGUGUGUGAAGAAGGUCUUCGGAUUGUAAAGUCCCUUUUGUUAGGAAAGAAAGCAUUCGGUUAAUACCCGGUGUUCUGACGUACCAAAGAAUAAGCACCGGCUAACUUCGUGCCAGCAGCCGACGUAA